UAACCUACCACCCUUUGUUUAUUACACUUUGUUGCUUUGNNNGCCUGCCCUCGGGCUGCUGGCUCCGGCCGGCGAGCGCCUGCCAGAGGACCUAAACUCUGUUUGUCUAUACUGUCUGAGUACUAUAUAAUAGUUAAAACUUUCAACAACGGAUCUCUUGGUUCUGGCAUCGAUGAAGAACGCAGCGAAAUGCGAUAAGUAAUGUGAAUUGCAGAAUUCAGUGAAUCAUCGAAUCUUUGAACGCACAUUGCGCCCCCUGGUAUUCCGGGGGGCAUGCCUGUCCGAGCGUCAUUACAACCCUCAAGCUCAGCUUGGUGUUGGGCCCCGCCGCCCCGGCGGGCCCUAAAGUCAGUGGCGGUGCCGUCCGGCUCCGAGCGUAGUAAUUCUUCUCGCUCUGGAGGCCCGGUCGCGUGCCCGCCAGCAACCCCCAAUUUUUUUCAGGUUGACCUCGGAUCAGGUAGGGAUACCCGCUGAACUUAAGCAUAUCAAUAAGCGGAGG
rnacentral:rRNA from 1 species